rnacentral:RNase_P_RNA from 1 species
UUGGGCCUGAAACGUAGACUAGGGGGCCACUUUCGGAGUACUUGGUUACUCACUUCUCCCCCGGGAAGGUCUGAGAUCAGGACUGUCUUUCAACCUCUUAAUUGGAGGGUGUUCCCUAAAUAAGGGGCGCGGGGUAACAGAAAAAGCAAUGACAUAUCCUUGGCAAGAGUUUAAUGCGGAUAAGUGGUUGGUGGGAUAGCCCCGUAGUCGGCGAUUUGAGUGCAAUCUCUACGGCGUAACCUCUAAAGCGUAACUCAAUUCAGACUAAUCUCAGGACCAA